rnacentral:siRNA from 1 species
GAUGGUGAACUAUGCCUGAGC